ACUCCUACGGGAGGCAGCAGUGGGGAAUCUUGGACAAUGGGGGCAACCCUGAUCCAGCCAUGCCGCGUGAGUGAUGAAGGCCCUAGGGUCGUAAAGCUCUUUCGCCAGGGAUGAUAAUGACAGUACCUGGUAAAGAAACCCCGGCUAACUCCGUGCCAGCAGCCGCGGUAAUACGGAGGGGGUUAGCGUUGUUCGGAAUUACUGGGGCGUAAAGCGCGCGUAGGCGGACCAGAAAGUUGGGGGUGAAAUCCCGGGGCUCAACCCCGGAACUGCCUCCAAAACUCCUGGUCUUGAGUUCGAGAGAGGUGAGUGGAAUUCCGAGUGUAGAGGUGAAAUUCGUAGAUAUUCGGAGGAACACCAGUGGCGAAGGCGGCUCACUGGCUCGAUACUGACGCUGAGGUGCGAAAGUGUGGGGAGCAAACAGGAUUAGAUACCCUGGUAGGAUAGCG
rnacentral:rRNA from 1 species